CCUACGGGGGGCAGCAGUAGGGAAUUUUGCGCAAUGGGCGAAAGCCUGACGCAGCAACGCCGCGUGAUCGAGACGCCCUUCGGGGUGUAAAGAUCUGUCAGUGGGGACGAAACUUGGCGGUACCUACAGAGGAAGCACCGGCUAACGCCGUGCCAGCAUCCGCGGUCAUCCGGGGGGUGCAAGCGUUGUCCGGAAUCAUUGGGCGUAAAGAGUUCGUAGGCGGCACGGAAAGUCUGGUGUUAAAGGCAGGGUCGCAACUUGUGUACGGCACUGGAUACUUGCGUGCUAGAGUGCGGUAGAGGUAAGGGGAAUGCCUGGUGUAGCGGUGAAAUGCUUAGAUAUCAGGAGGAACAUCGGUGGCGUAGGCGCUUUACUGGGCCGUAAUUGACGCUGAGGAACGAAAGCGAGGGUAGCAAAUGGGAUUAGAUACCCUUGUAGUC
rnacentral:rRNA from 1 species